rnacentral:lncRNA from 1 species
UGAAAUUUAGCUAUGACUUUAUUUGGGUUGAAUACAUGGAUUUUUUUUUUCAUGUCAUCUUUCUAAUCUUAAAGUAGAAAUGUAUUUACAUUGUUUAUAUACAAAUUGACAAUUAGAGGUGGGACACAUAAGAGUAAACUCUAGCGUGGCCCUGGAAAGUUACAUUGAGAAUUAAGAUUUCCUGAGAAUAAUCAACAGCCAGAUAACAGUAUCUCUAAAAAUUCUCAGAAGACAGCCUCUUCCAUGUGUUAUGAUCUGCAAUGUUUGGUGGUUUCAAAAUCUCCAGAUGUUUGGGUAGGGUGACUCCUUUUCUGGGUACAGGUCCAAAAAGAAGAGACAGCCUGGUUUUUAUUUCCAAGAAUGAUGCCACAGGUCAGUGUUGCCUGAAGUGGAGCAUGCCGGGAAGAAGCGCCAGAAUGGCCUUUGAUAUACCGGGUACACUAGAGGCUCAGUUGCAGUCAUGAUGGAUUAUUGACAAACUGUGUUUCUGUGAUGCGUUGUUUUGAAAGCAUAUGUUUACUCUGAUGAGGCUCUGUUCCAAGUUUGUGUCAGUGUUCAGUGCACUUGUUUUAUUUACGUAUAUUAUCCUUGUCCCAGAGAUUCCUAACCACAAGACACAAGGCACAAUUUUGUUAGUCAUGCUUCCCUCCCACAAAAUCCAUGUUGAAUAGUUAUGAUUCUGAACUCAUUGCGGGUCCUUGAAAUAAAUUUUUAAAAAAUUACAAAAAAUAAAGGGAGUUCCCGUCGUGCCUGAGCAGUAAUGAAUUGACUAGUAUUCAUGAGGACGCAGGUUCGAUCCCUGGCCUCGCUCAGUGGGUUAGGGAUCCAGCGUUGCCAUGAGCUGUGGGGUAGGUCGCAGACAUGGCUUGGAUCUGGCAUUACCAUGGCUGUGGCUGUGGAGGAGGCUGGCAGCUACAGCUCCGAUUUGACCCCUAGCCUGGGAACUACCAUAUGUCAUGGACGCAGCCUCAAAAAGCAAAGAAAAAAAAGAUGCAGAGAUGAAAUAUAGACUGAUCUUUUUAAGGGCUUUGUUAUUAAGGGAAGAAGCGAUACAGGCUGUUGCUAAUGCAGAGUGGCCCGUCUUCUUUAAAAAGGAGAGAUUUGAGCAUGUUUGUUCGCCGUGGCAAAGGAGCCAGUGGAGAGGGAGGGGCUGAAAAUGCAGAAUGCCUAGCGGAGCCCCCUCUGGGAGGCAGGAGGCGGGCAGGCUCAGGGAGAGCUCGCAGUGCACCUGUGGGCACAGGGGCUGGGGGUUGAGUUGGGCUAAGCGUGGUGUCUGCUGAGCAGGACUCGUGGAAGGACAGAGGGUGAAGGUCACUGAGUGACAGGAGAGGCACUGGAGGAUCUAGGGUCUGAGUAGACUUGAGACCCUCGACUGGGUGGGAAAGUGCGUAGAGCUGUGAAAGGCACGGGAUGGCCUCAGUGAAAACCUGCAGCUUCAGGUUUGUAUGUGGAAGCCCAUCCAUGGUCACAUGCACUUCAGUCGCAUUUGGGGGCCCCCCCAAGCUCCUUCACACCCACGGGCCUUCGCUAGACCCCAUCGGAGCAAGAGAAGCAACAGUGCGUUUCCCACGUGGGACAGAGUUCUCUGGUUUCCGCUCCCUUCUUGAGCCAUCAGAACACCAUCUCCUUCACACAAAGCAUAAAUAGUUUCAAAAGAUGUCACUGGGACAAUGACAUAGCAGCAUCUUAGCUCCUGAAGUCAUGGGCGUUCAGCCUGAGCUGGACCCUGGGGCCUGGAUUUCCUCAGGCCUCUCCCACACCUGUGCGUGGAUGUGGUCCCAGCAGUAGCACCUGGGGUUCUGCGGGCUCAUGACGACCUCGUGUGUGACACCUGCAGGACCCCAGCCUCCCCGGUGACAGCACCGUGGCCCUCACAGCCUCUGCUGUGGACUGCAAACAGUCCUUCCAGAUUCCGCACCGAGUCCCCUGUAAGCCCUUGCGCUGCCAAGGCGACAGCAUGCUGCUUCAGUCCCACCAAGCAGAGGUGGGGAAAGCACCCCCACACACUGCCUGCCACUGUGUCACCUGGGCUCUGAAGCAAGUGCCUCAGGGAGACGGACCCCUGCCCCAACCCCUCUCUCUUCAGAAGUUCCAAUGAGCCUGGGGUCAGACCACAUCUGCUCCCCCCGUAUUUCCUCUCUCUUCCCACGGAUUCCCACGUCCAAAGCCUCCUCCUGGUGGGUUUCCUGUCUCUCAAGACACUCGAACCCUCGAAUAGACUCCGAAGUCUCCUGGCCCACGGGUCACCCCACAGGAUGACUCUGAUCUCAUCCCAGGCUUCUCUGGACACCGCUGCUAAUUUCCUAGAGCAAGUGGUGCAGAUGUGCCUGCGGCCUCUUAAGUUGCCCUUGCCCUGCUCUGCAGCAAAUCCUCUCUGUGGGCCGAUCUAAUAGGUGCAAUUUUUUUUUUUUUUUCUUUUGCCAGUGUACCUUUUCCAUGCUUGAGGAUUUUAAUUUGAUUAUUCGUAAGUGUCUGGCUGCCCCUGAUAAAUCCAGUCCGAAGAAGGAGCUGGAAGCAGGAAGGGCAAAGGCAGGGGCGAGGAGGGAGGAUCUUGAGACCCGGUUCUGCUGUCCGAUGACGCUGCCAUAACCACGUUCCCCGGUUUGGGGGCUCCGGCAGUGGAAAUACACUAGCUCAGCGCGCCGGAGGCCGGAAGCCUGAGAUCGAGGUGUGGGCAGGGUUGGCUGCACCCGGGGCCUCUGUCCUGGGCUUGGAGACGGCCGUCUUCCCCGCAUCCUCCCGUCGUCUUCCUUCCUUCCUUCCUUCCGUGUGUGUGUGUGUGUGUGUGUGUGUGUGUGUGUGUGUGUCCUGAGCGCCUCUUCCUCCAAGGACACCAUCAUGCAUCUUAGCUCAUUUCGCCUCACUUCCUUCUUUAAAGGCUCUACUUCCAAAUGCAGUUACAUUCCGAGUUGCCGGGCACAGGACCUGGACAUACGCAUUUGAAGGAGACGCAAUUUUACCGUAACUCUGGCCCUGUGGAGUCAAGAGACGGCAAGGGCAUUGAAGCAGGACCUGCCUGUGAGACCCCGAGCUCUAUGGGCUGAGGGGGCCUCCCUGGGGCGGGGCCGGCAGAGCUUGGUGAUGUGCGCUGCCCUCCUCUCGUGGGACCCAGUGCCAGGCCAUCGUGGGCAGAACGGAAGGCAUCUAUGCCACAUUCCAACGAGGGGUUUGGAAAAUCCCGUGGAAUCAUGAGCUUUUAUUAAUUGAAGGCUUCCCAAAGACCUGUCUACCUUGAUCAAAAGAUGACUCUCUCUUCGUGACCACAGGGAGCCCUCAGGGACAGGAACUGGCUCCUGGACAUCCAUGACCUCAAGGCUCGAGACCAGAAAGACAAAAUGUUCGCACAGAUGCAGAACAAAAGCAUCAUUCAUGGUGAUGGCAUCACUGAAACUGUCAGACAGGAAGAUUACCAAGGGUUUGGCGUGAGUGGGGAAAUGUAAAUGAAAAUUUGAAAACCGUACCUGGGCCGUAUUCUCAUUUAAGGACUGGAAAUACCAACUAGAACCUAUUGAUUUAUGGUGCUAACUUUAUUGUUUUAUCCAAAAAAAAAAAAAAGUGUCUAAGGUUUUCUCAGAUUCCCCUGAGAUCUUGGUGCCCAAACUCUAAACUCUAUUUUCUUUAUGAAGACUUGAGUCCCAAAAGGGCAUGUGUUCCUGGGUGACUAUGGCGGGGAAAGGGCUUCUGUGGCACUUUUCGAGGUCGAAGCCCAAGAUGCUGUUUUGGGGGAGAGGGAGUCACAGCCUUGAGAUAGACGGUCUCUUUCCUGGUUUAUAGCUCAGCGCGUAAGAUACACGUAUUUCAUUUUAACUUCAGGAUCAAUGUACAGUGUCUUCAAGCACACCAAGUGCUUCGAAGGGAUGUGCGCCAGGAUCACCUUUCUGGUGGUGAAACAUGGGUACUCCUUGCACUUGUCAUGGCCCCGACGUGCUAAUCCAGGAUUCCCUCAUCACUCAGUACAUUUUUAUUAAGGACCUGCUGUGUCCUAAGGACUGCGUCGUCCGCUGCGAACACAAGGCCCCUCCCCCAGGGAUUUAUAGCGGGUUAAGUGCCCGGGUGACCUAACAGGGAGGCACCGGGGGGCGGGAGGGAUGUCAGGGAGAGCCGAGUGGGGUGUGAUGGAGAGGUAAGCAGAAGCCGAGGGGUGCUAAGUGUAGCCCCCGAGUGAUUCAACACAUCGGAUUGAGAGGUCCCAAUUCCCCUUCGAAAAAGAUGGCCAGGACGGCCGUGGGCACGAGGGACUGCGGGAGGUCAGGGCCGAGCAGAGCAUCGAGUGAGGAGGCGGCCGUGGUCCGGGUGAGAGGAUGGGGUGGGCGGUCGACGCUGAUGGACGAGCACAGGGUGCCCUCCUCGCGGGCCCGUGGCCGCAGGCAGGAGAGGCCGCCUGGGAGAGGGGCUCGCCAAGAGAGAUGCGCUGAUAACCUCAGCAGCUCGAGUUUGGUCCAGGCUCUGCGGGAACCUCCGUACGGCCAGGACGAUUAAAGGCUCUAGAGGGGAAAGAGACACACUUCCCUUGAGGGCACCAGGCUUUUUUUCCACCCUUUGGCUGGAAAGCCAGCCCUGUGUGGAUGGGUUGGGGCGGCCCUGCGUGGAGACAGGGGCCUGCAGUGGGGAACCCGAAGUCAUCGCAGGCGUGGGUCCCCACCUCUGGUGCUUCAUGUGCACGCUGGCCGAGCCGUUUCCCUUCCUAAGGUGUUGUCCCCUAUGGCAGCCACUAGCCCCACAGGGCCACUUAAAUGUAAAUGUAUUAAAUUUAAAAUUGACAUUAAAUUAAAAUUUAUAAGUGAAUUAAAUUUUAAAUUGAAAUUAAAUUUAAAAUUUAUAAGCGACCCUGUCUAUGGUGUUUUUUUUGGGACAGCAGCCUGAAUGGGCUCAGGAUGCCUUGCCUGCUCUCCUAGACCCCCUGUGACCUUCCCUCGUGAGUGGCUUGCCCUUGCCCAGGGCCAUCCUCAUGGGACGGGGACCCCAGGGCCUCUCUACCCCAUGUCUCACAGCCACCCACCAGCCCUACUCCCUCCCAGGCCAAGAACCCGCUCUUGGACCAGCCGUGGCCCCUUUUGCUAAGGUCAGCAGGUAGUAUGUUCCAGAAGAGGCUGUGACCCAGGGGGCAGAGAGCCUGGACAGAGAGCAGGAAUCAUGUGCUUUGUGCUCCGCCUCCGCAGAGACCGGCUGGGUUUCUUAAGGGUGAAUGUGGACGUGGGCCUUGGAGGCGGCGGCCCACAGGAGAAAGAGGACGGAGGGGAAUGUCACUCCCGGGGCCGUGAAGGAGUGACGGGGCCUCAGAAGAGAAACAGUAAAUUAAAGACAAGGUGCACGAAUGGCGUGCUUUCCCUGUACUUCAGAGAGCAGGUUCCAUCUAUAUUUCAACACCCGGCACGCUCAAGAAUGGAGCAGACACACACGUGCUUGCAAAACCAAAACACAGCUGGUAGGUCUAAUUUUAGGUCCCUAAGCGUUGGCAGUGUCCCUUCAUCCAGUGAGCGCUGUCUGAUCUCCCAGAGUCUGUGCCAAGAGCCAGACUCCGCCAAGCUCCCUGACAGUCCUGUGUGCAAGCCGGAAGGUGGGUGGCGCCCCUCUGGGCCUGGGGUCCCCAGGAGGGGGAUCCAUCAUGACAAGGGGAUGGGGCGGCCCUUCUUGCAGGCUCAGUCCGGGGCCUCAACUUGUUUGGGGGAACCUCUAAAAAAUAGCAGUUUGAAAAGUAGUCUUGGGGAGUUCCCGUCGUGGCGCAGUGGUUAACGAAUCCAACUAGGAACCAUGAGGUUGCAGGUUCAAUCCCUGGCCUCACUCAGUGAGUUAAGGAUCUGGUGUUGCCACGAGCUGUGGUGUAGGUUGCAGACGUGGCUCGAAUCUGGCAUUGCUGUGGCUCUGGCGUAGGCCAGUGGCUACAGCUCCGAUUCGACUCCUAGCCUGGGAACCUCCACAUGUCGUGGGUGUGGCCCUAGAAAAGAGAGAAAGACAAAAAAAAAAAAAAAGAAAGAAAGAAAGAAAGAAAAGGAGUCUUGGAAAGAAAAAUGUAAUCAUACCAGGUUCACCCAGCAGGUGCGUUCGGGAAUAGAGAGGGGCUUCAGGAAUAAACUGUUUGCCCAGAAUCAUGCUUGCAUGGAAUAUAAACUC